GGGGGUGUAGCUCAGUGAUUGAGCGCUUGCCUUGCAAGCGUGAGGCACUAGGUUCGAUCCUCAGCACCACAU
rnacentral:tRNA from 1 species